rnacentral:rRNA from 1 species
UACAGAGACUGCAAGCGUUAUUCGGAUUCACUGGGCGUAAAGGGUGCGCAGGCGGUUGGGUGUGUCAGAUGUGAAAUCCCGAGGCUUAAACUCGGAACUGCGUCUGAAACUACUCGACUAGAGUACUGGAGAGGGAAACGGAAUUCACGGUGUAGCAGUGAAAUGCGUAGAUAUCGUGAGGAACACCAGAGGCGAAGGCGGUUUCCUGGACAGUUACUGACGCUCAGGCACGAAAGCAUGGGGAGCAAAAGGG